GGGGUUGUGGCUCAGUGGUAGAGUGCUUGCCUAGCAUGUGUGAGGCUCUGGGUUUGAUUCUCAGCACCA
rnacentral:tRNA from 1 species